AACGAACGCUAGCGGCGUGGCUAAGACAUGCAAGUCGUACGGUACGGUGUAGCAAUACAUCGUAUAGUGGCGGACGGGUGAGUAAGACAUGGGUAACGUACCUUGAACUCAGGGAUAGCGUCGGUACCCGCAAGGGUACCUAGCGAAAGCGACGGUAAUACCUGAUGAAAUCCGCGGGUGGCAUCACCUGCGGAUCAAAGACGGGACGC
rnacentral:rRNA from 1 species